rnacentral:rRNA from 1 species
CGUCUGGAAAGGCGCGCGAUACAGGGUGACAGGCCCGUACACAAAAAUGCACAUGCUGUGAGCUCGAUGAGUAGGGCGGGACACGUGGUAUCCUGUCUGAAUAUGGGGGGACCAUCCUCCAAGGCUAAAUACUCCUGACUGACCGAUAGUGAACCAGUACCGUGAGGGAAAGGCGAAAAGAACCCCGGCGAGGGGAGUGAAAAAGAACCUGAAACCGUGUACGUACAAGCAGUGGGAGCACGCUUAGGCGUGUGACUGCGUACCUUUUGUAUAAUGGGUCAGCGACUUAUAUUCUGUAGCAAGGUUAACCGAAUAGGGGAGCCGAAGGGAAACCGAGUCUUAACUGGGCGUUAAGUUGCAGGGUAUAGACCCGAAACCCGGUGAUCUAGCCAUGGGCAGGUUGAAGGUUGGGUAACACUAACUGGAGGACCGAACCGACUAAUGUUGAAAAAUUAGCGGAUGACUUGUGGCUGGGGGUGAAAGGCCAAUCAAACCGGGAGAUAGCUGGUUCUCCCCGAAAGCUAUUUAGGUAGCGCCUCGUGAAUUCAUCUCCGGGGGUAGAGCACUGUUUCGGCAAGGGGGUCAUCCCGACUUACCAACCCGAUGCAAACUGCGAAUACCGGAGAAUGUUAUCACGGGAGACACACGGCGGGUGCUAACGUCCGUCGUGAAGAGGGAAACAACCCAGACCGCCAGCUAAGGUCCCAAAGUCAUGGUUAAGUGGGAAACGAUGUGGGAAGGCCCAGACAGCCAGGAUGUUGGCUUAGAAGCAGCCAUCAUUUAAAGAAAGCGUAAUAGCUCACUGGUCGAGUCGGCCUGCGCGGAAGAUGUAACGGGGCUAAACCAUGCACCGAAGCUGCGGCAGCGACGCUGAUGCGUUGUUGGGUA